rnacentral:rRNA from 1 species
AGAGUUUGAUUCUGGCUCAGGAUUAACGCUGGCGGCAUGCCUAAUACAUGCAAGUCGAACGAAAAAUAUAGAAGUGCUUGCACAUUUAUAUUUUUAGUGGCGAACGGGUGAGUAAUAUAUAGAUAACCUGCCUUAAAGUUGGGGAUAACAGAGGGAAACCUCUGCUAAUACCGAAUACGAUAACUAGACGCAUGUUUAGUUAUUAAAAGGGGCUCCAAAGCCCCGCUCUAAGAGGGGUCUAUAUCGCAUUAGCUAGUUGGUAAGAUAACAGCCUACCAAGGCGAUGAUGCGUAGCUGUACUGAGAGGUAGAACAGCCACAUUGGGACUGAGACACGGCCCAAACUCCUACGGGAGGCAGCAGUGGGGAAUAUUGCACAAUGGAGGGAACUCUGAUACAGCGACGCCGCGUGAGCGAAGAAGGAAUUCGUUUCGUAAAGCUCUGUCCUAUGGGAAGAUAAUGACGGUACCAUAGAAGAAAGCCCCGGCUAACUACGUGCCAGCAGCCGCGGUAAUACGUAGGGGGCGAGCGUUGUCCGGAAUUAUUGGGCGUAAAGGGUUCGUAGGCGGUAAUACAUGUCAGAUGUGAAAUCUUGUGGCUUAACCACAUCAAGCAUCUGAAACUGUAUAACUUGAGUGGAGGAGAGGUAAGUGGAAUUCCUAGUGUAGCGGUGAAAUGCGUAGAUAUUAGGAAGAAUACCAGUAGCGAAGGCGACUUACUGGCCUCUAACUGACGCUGAUGAACGAAAGCGUGGGUAGCAAACAGGAUUAGAUACCCUGGUAGUCCACGCCGUAAACGAUGAGUGCUAGGUGUCGGGAGUCAAAUCUCGGUGCCGUAGUUAACGCAAUAAGCACUCCGCCUGGGGAGUACGUGCGCAAGCAUGAAACUCAAAGGAAUUGACGGGUCCCCGCACAAGCAGCGGAGCGUGUGGUUUAAUUCGAUGCUCCGCGAAGAACCUUACCUGGGUUUGACAUAACAGUGGUAGAGAAGUGAAAACGGAUCGACCCUUCGGGGAGCUGUUACAGGUGUUGCAUGCCUGUCGUCAGCUCGUGUCGUGAGAUGUUCGGUUAAGUCCGCUAACGAGCGCAACCCGCGCUGUGUGUUACAAGUGUCACACAGUACCGCCGGUAUUAAGUCGGAGGAAGGUGCGGAUGACGUCAAGUCAGCAUGACCUUUAUAUCCAGGGCUACACACACGCUACAAUGGUCAGAACAAUAGGUUGCCAAGCCGCAAGGCGGAGCCAAUCCUCCAAAUCUGGCCUCAGUUCAGAUUGCAGGCUGCAACUCGCCUGCAUGAAGUCGGAGUUGCUAGUAACCGCAGGUCAGCAUACUGCGGUGAAUAAGUUCCCGGGGAUUGUACUCACCGCCC